UAAUACGUAGGGGCCUAGCGUUGUCCGGAUUUAUUGGGCGUAAAGAGCUCGUAGGCGGUUCGGCAAGUCACGUGUGAAAUCUCCACGCUUAACGUGGAGGCGCCACGUGAAACUGCCGUGACUUGAGUCCGGUAGGGGGGUGUGGAAUUCCCGGUGUAGCGGUGAAAUGCGCAGAUAUCGGGAGGAACACCAGUAGCGAAGGCGGCACCCUGGGCCGGUACUGACGCUGAGGAGCGAAAGCGUGGGGAGCAAACAGGAUUAGAUACCCUGGUAGUCCACGCCGUAAACGUUGGGCACUAGGUGUGGGGCUCUAUCGACGGGCUCCGUGCCGUAGCUAACGCAUUAAGUGCCCCGCCUGGGGAGUACGGCCGCAAGGCUA
rnacentral:rRNA from 1 species